rnacentral:rRNA from 1 species
GAUGAACGCUGGCGGCGUGCUUAACACAUGCAAGUCGAACGAAGCACUUUAUUUGAUUUCCUUCGGGACUGAUUAUUUUGUGACUGAGUGGCGGACGGGUGAGUAACGCGUGGGUAACCUGCCUUGUACGGGGGGAUAACAGUUGGAAACGGCUGCUAAUACCGCAUAAGCGCACAGCAUCGCAUGAUGCAGUGUGAAAAACUCCGGUGGUAUAAGAUGGACCCGCGUUGGAUUAGCUAGUUGGUGAGGUAACGGCCCACCAAGGCGACGAUCCAUAGCCGACCUGAUAGGGUGACCGGACACAUUGGGACUGAGACACGGCCCAAAAGCCUACGGGAGGCAGCAGUGGGGAAUAUUGCACAAUGGGCGAAAGCCUGAUGCAGCGACGCCGCGUGAGCGAAGAAGUAUUUCGGUAUGUAAAGCUCUAUCAGCAGGGAAGAUAAUGACGUUACCUGACUAAGAAGCACCGGCUAAAUACGUG